rnacentral:rRNA from 1 species
AUGAACGCUGGCGGCGUGCUUAACACAUGCAAGUCGAGCGAAGCACUUACCAUUGACUCUUCGGAAGAUUUGGUAAAUGACUGAGCGGCGGACGGGUGAGUAACGCGUGGGUAACCUGCCUCAUACAGGGGAAUAACAGUUAGAAAUGGCUGCUAAUGCCGCAUAAGCGCACAGUACCGCAUGGUACGGUGUGAAAAACUGAGGUGGUAUGAGAUGGACCCGCGUCUGAUUAGGUAGUUGGUGGGGUAACGGCCUACCAAGCCGACGAUCAGUAGCCGGCCUGAGAGGGUGAACGGCCACAUUGGGACUGAGACACGGCCCAGACUCCUACGGGAGGCAGCAGUGGGGAAUAUUGCACAAUGGGGGAAACCCUGAUGCAGCGACGCCGCGUGAAGGAAGAAGUAUCUCGGUAUGUAAACU